UUGAACGCUGGCGGCAGGCCUAACACAUGCAAGUCGAGCGGAUGAAGGGAGCUUGCUCCUGGAUUCAGCGGCGGACGGGUGAGUAAUGCCUAGGAAUCUGCCUGGUAGUGGGGGAUAACGUCCGGAAACGGGCGCUAAUACCGCAUACGUCCUGAGGGAGAAAGUGGGGGAUCUUCGGACCUCACGCUAUCAGAUGAGCCUAGGUCGGAUUAGCUAGUUGGUGGGGUAAAGGCCUACCAAGGCGACGAUCCGUAACUGGUCUGAGAGGAUGAUCAGUCACACUGGAACUGAGACACGGUCCAGACUCCUACGGGAGGCAGCAGUGGGGAAUAUUGGACAAUGGGCGAAAGCCUGAUCCAGCCAUGCCGCGUGUGUGAAGAAGGUCUUCGGAUUGUAAAGCGCUUUAAGUUGGGAGGAAGGGCAGUAAGUUAAUACCUUGCUGUUUUGACGUUACCAACAGAAUAAGCACCGGCUAACUUCGUG
rnacentral:rRNA from 1 species